rnacentral:rRNA from 1 species
UACGUAGGUGGCAAGCGUUACUCGGAAUCACUAGGCGUAAAGCGCAGGUAGGCGGUUUGAUAAGUCUCUUGUGAAAGCUCCCGGCUUAACUGGGAGAGGUCAAGGGAAACUGUCAGGCUAGAGUGUGGCAGAGGAAACUGGAAUUCCCGGUGUAGCGGUGAAAUGCGUAGAUAUCGGGAGGAAUACCUAUGGCGAAAGCAGGCUUCUGGGCCGUCACUGACGCUGAGCUGCGAAAGCUAGGGGAGCAAACAGGAUUAGAAACCCCCGUA